rnacentral:tRNA from 1 species
GGGUGGAUACCCAAGUGGCUAAAGGGGCCAGACUGUAAAUCUGGUGGUUCUACCUUCGCAGGUUCGAAUCCUGCUCCACCCA